rnacentral:rRNA from 1 species
CCUACGGGGGGCAGCAGUGAGGAAUAUUGGUCAAUGGACGAGAGUCUGAACCAGCCAAGUAGCGUGAAGGAUGACUGCCCUAUGGGUUGUAAACUUCUUUUAUAUGGGAAUAAAACGUUCCACGUGUGGGAUUUUGUAUGUACCAUAUGAAUAAGGAUCGGCUAACUCCGUGCCAGCAGCCGCGGUAAUACGGAGGAUCCGAGCGUUAUCCGGAUUUAUUGGGUUUAAAGGGAGCGUCGGUGGAUUGUUAAGUCAGUUGUGAAAGUUUGCGGCUCAACCGUAAAAUUGCAGUUGAAACUGGCAGUCUUGAGUACAGUAGAGGUGGGCGGAAUUCGUGGUGUAGCGGUGAAAUGCUUAGAUAUCACGAAGAACUCCGAUUGCGAAGGCAGUUCACUGGACUGCAACUGACACUGAGGCUCGAAAGUGUGGGUAUCAAACAGGAUUAGAUACCCCAGUAGUC